rnacentral:lncRNA from 1 species
GUAGCAUUUUAUUUUCUAUUUUUGGCGUGUAAAGCUCUAAGAGAGACUGUGCUGAAUUUUCAAGAGCAGCCUAGAAAAAUCAUGGGAUGGACAAGCUUACCCUUUUUCCCCACCCUUCUUGCAUGCUUAAAUUACCAUACUGAUACACUGCUCUGCAUACAAACGAGAAUAGAAACCUGCUACAUACUCCUGAUAAGGGUCAUAAAGUGCCAGCUUCGUAGCUCAGUAACUACGCUACUGUUGAUGCCCCAUUGAGCAAGAUCCCUCUGUUCCUGCGUGGAGGCUGCAUUCUCCCAAAACAGGCACCAGCCACAAGAACAACUAAGAGCCGUCUGAACCCGUGUGGGCUCGUUGUUGCCCUGGAUGAUCAAGGAGAAGCUUCUGGGUCGCUCUUCUGGGAUGAUGGCGAUUCGAUUGGGAAUCUUGAAGACAGAAAUAGUUAAAAAUGGCUACCGAGGGGCUGACUCUCUGAAAUACAACACAAUUAUGAUCCUUGGACUGAACCGGAGACCUCAUGCUGUUGCUCUGAAUGGAAGGGCUGUGCGUAAAAAUGCUUUCUCUUGUCAGACAAACGGGCAAUUCACUUUACGGCUUUCUGCACCACUUACUCAGGAGCUCAGCACUGCCAUUUACUAGAAUGGUUAGAAAACCCUGACAUAAUUUAGCAGCCUUGGCCCUCAGAUAUUGAUCUCACUGAUGUAAAAAAGUAUCCAGUCAUUAAAACGUUGCCUAUGUGCCUGACCACUGCUCUUCUCCUGUGCUGCAUUUGUAAUUCAAUAUUCUUCAAAUAAAAUUUUCAUUAACAG